GCAGUGGUGGGUCAGUGGUAGAAUGUUCACCUUUUAUGCAGGAGACCCAGGUUCUAUUCCAGGCCAAUGCA
rnacentral:tRNA from 1 species